CGAGAUGAGUUCUCCCUGAGACUUAGAGUCUCCUGAAGGAACGUUGAAGACGACGACGUUGAUAGGCCGGGUGUGUAAGCGCAGCGAUGCGUUGAGCUAACCGGUACUAAUGAACCGUGAGGCUUAACCUUACAACGCCGAAGCUGUU
rnacentral:rRNA from 1 species